rnacentral:rRNA from 1 species
GAUGAACGCUAGCGGCAGGCUUAAUACAUGCAAGGCGAAGGGGCAGCAAUGUCACUGUCGUACGGGUGCGUAACGCGUAUGCAACCUACCUAUCACUGGGGGAUAGCCCGGGGAAACCCGGAUUAAUACCGCAUAAAACAGGGGCACCGCAUGGUGAUAUUUGUUAAAGAUUUAUUGGUGAUAGAUGGGCAUGCGUUCGAUUAGCUAGUUGGCGGGGUAACGGCCCACCAAGGCGACGAUCGAUAGGGGAACUGAGAGGUUGAUCCCCCACACGGGCCCUGAGAUACGGGCCCGCCUCCUACAGGCGGAAGCAGUAGGGAAUAUUGGGCAAUGGAUGCAAGUCUGACCCAGCCAUGCCGCGUGCCGGAUGAAGGCCCUCAGGGUUGUAAACGGCUUUUAUUCGGGAAGAAGAGCAGGGAUGCGUCCUUGUGUGACGGUACCGAAUGAAUAAGCACCGGCUAACUCCGUGCCAGCAGCCGCGGUAA